rnacentral:rRNA from 14 species
UAGAUAAAGGAAGUCGGCAAAAUAGAUCCGUAACCUCGGGAAAAGGAUUGGCUCUGAGGGUUGGGCUUGCGGGUCUCCGUGGCAAAAGGACGGCUGGAUACGUUGGACUGCGCGGCCUUCACGGGCUGCGCGGACUGGCGGUCGUCUGGCCCCCUGGCGCUGCGGAGGACGGGAUUUGGGCAACCGAGUUCCUUUCCGCAACGCGUUGAACAACCAACUCAGAACUGGAGCGGACAAGGGGAAUCCGACUGUUUAAUUAAAACAAAGCAUUGCGAUGGCCGGGGACGGUGUUGACGCAAUGUGAUUUCUGCCCGUGCUCUGAAUGUC